UCCUUUUGUGGGGAGCCCGCCCAAACUCCAUCCUUUGCCCGCGGCCACGCCCCACAGUGGGAAGGAGGGACUGAAAAGCAUUUCCUUGAGGCCGGCACAACUUGCCCUACCCAAAACGAGUUGGUUUGUUUUUUUUUUUUUCCCCUUCCCUGGCUGAGCCAGUUUCAUCUGAAAUACAGAGUGACCGGAGGAGGAACCGGAGGAGGGACAAGACAAACUCAUGGAGCUCCAGAAAGAGUGAAAAGAAGAUUCAACUGACUGGGAGGUUUCUUUGCAUAUGUGUUUCCAGAACUGAGACACUCUGCCUCAAUAAGAACAACUCAGGCCUUGGGAAUCAUUCU